AGGUAGAAAUUUUUAAGCCAAGUUAAGAAAUUUGGAAUUUAUCCUGUAGGCAAAGCCCAUGAAGAACUAUCAGCACACUUUAUGCAGGGUAGUAAUGUGAUCCAAUUUCCAUUUUUGAUAGGUCAUUCUGGCACCUGUUCACAGGGUAGGUUUUAAGAGGACAAGAUAAGUCAGAAAGGAAAAUAAGUGAAAGAUUUCGCUAGCAAAAUGCUGGCAAAAAAAAAGAGAAAUAUUUAGAAGGUAAAAUCAGAAUAACCUGGAGAUUGAUUGGACGAAGAAAAGGUAAACACGAAGACUAGGAUCUGCUUACCAGCUGGUGACUAUAGCAAGCAGGAGGCCAGGUGCAGCCAUUUGCCAUGAAGGUAAAGAGAGAGCUGAACUGGAGCAAUCUAGACUUCUGGGUGGCGAGGAUGCAAGUGCUUCCCACCGACUCACAGAUGCAACGGAAGAAAGGAGAGACACAAUGUCUUAUCACCUGUGUUUUAUCUGAUUUUGAUUGGGAAUUCCAGUCUCUUAUUCUGUUGAAGACAUACUGAAACCAGAUAAAGGAUUUCAAGGCAAAGAACAGGAAACAGAUGACAUGAUCCUAUAUGAAGAUACAAAGGAAUAACAGAAAUUUUACUAGAACUAAUAAAGGACUUUAGCAAGAUUGCAAGAUCAAAAUACAAAAAUUAAUUGUAUCUCUAUAUGCUAGCAAUGAAUAAUCAGAAAUUGAAAUUAAGAAAACAAUUCCUUCACAAUAACAGCAAAGAAAAUAAAAUACUUAGAAAUAAACUUAACAGAAGAAAUGCAAGACUUACACACUGCAAAUGAUAAAACAUCAUUGAAAGAAAUUAAAGAGGACCUAAAUAAAUGGAAGGACAUUUCAUGUUCAUGCACUGGAAGAUUAAAUAUUGCCAAGAAGGCAUUUCUCUCCAUAUUGACCUAU
rnacentral:lncRNA from 1 species